rnacentral:rRNA from 1 species
GACGAGCCUCACAAACGUUAUUCGGAAUUACUGGGCUUAAAGGGUGCGUAGGCGGCGCGGAAAGUUGGGUGUGAAAUCCCUCGGCUCAACCGAGGAACUGCGCCCAAAACUACCGUGCUCGAGGAAGAUAGAGGUGAGCGGAACUUACGGUGGAGCGGUGAAAUGCGUUGAUAUCGUAAGGAACACCCGUGGCGAAAGCGGCUCUCUGGGACGGUACUGACGCUGAGACGCGAAAGCGUGGGGAGCAAACAGG